UCCCAAAUGUUUGCUCUGGUGACCCCUUUCACAUAGCAAGCGUCUGACUGUGACCCCCCCAUAUGAAUUAAAAACACUUUUUUAUAUAUUUAACACCAUUAUAAAUGCUGGAGACAAAGCGGGGUUUAGGGUGGAGGCUGACACCUUGUGACCCCCCCCAUGUAAUAACCCCGCUACUCUCUGAGGGGUCCUGAUACCAAAUUUGAGAACCCCUGGUCUACACUGUAACUUGGGAGACCUAG